GCGACGACGAAGCAUCCUUGCGCGGGCACGCGCCGGCGAAGCUUCCUGGCGCCGGUGACUCCUUCGCCGUGUUGACGGCCGCUUUCCAGCAUUGUACGGCUACAUGCCCACUCAACCUGCUAAAUCGGCCUCGUCUCCAGUUACAUCCACUGUAAGCAGCCAAAACUUUAGCGUCACCGGUCACAUUCCUACGGGGUCGGCUACAUCCCAGUGUCUCCUGAUACAUCCAACUGUAAGGCAAUCACAUUUCUAUCCUGAAGUCGCUCGAUGUAGUAGUUUGAGUAUUCUCAGUGUUCAGGCUAGUGUUCGGCUGAUCGAUGUACGUUGAUAUGUUAGUAGCACAAAUUAGUUACAGUAGUGGAAAAGUACCAUCUAGUAAUAAAAUUGACAGGAGAUGUGUUACAUCUCUUGUCAUGAUUCCUACAUGUAACUGAUUUAUAUCCUACAAAAAAAUUGACAUUUGCUACAUCCGCGGGCUAGAAAAAGGGGCAAAUACAAGCUGGCCAAGAAAAGGGAACAGAGCUUCAUCGCCAAUAAA